CUUCACGAGCACCGCCACAGUCAAAUACCCAGGUGGCCAAUUCUGUGCCAGGGCAGCCGGACCAGCAGUUGGCUUGUGCUGACUGCAGAGCCAGGCUCCGCCCCUCCCCCGCCAUCAGGACACUGGCAGCCACGAUGGUUUCUGGGAGCCAACGGCCGCUCUUCCAAGAGCAGGGUUUGGAAGCUUCCAUGGGUGUGAAGAACCCUCCCAAGCUGGAGGGUGACGCUGCUGAGGGCUCGGUGACCAACCAGUGUGCAGGUCAAGUCUUUGGCCACGUUAAUGCCCUGGGUGUGAUGAAACAGAAGAUGAUCAAGAGAAAAGUGCAGUUCGGCGAGGGCAGACUUGCGUGCAGAUUCCGUGGCCUUCAAACAUAGGGCACAGAGAUACCAAGGACUCCAGGAACUAAGAAAAGAUACUCCUCAUUUAAACGAAACCCCAUCAUAAAACCCCAUCAUUCUACACCGACUGAAAAGAACUCUAAAGCAGCAAAUCAAGCUAAAGCCCAAACAGAACAUGCGAGGGAUCCUUUGCUGAGAAUCGACAUCUCGAUCACAAGCCACUCUCUGGGAUUUUUACUCCAAAAGUCUGGUUUGAUGAGAGGAAUUCUCACUCUUCUAACUCCAGUCGUGAUAAGUCGCCGAGGCAACCAAUGCCCAGACCACACGCCCUUGUGAGACACCUUCAGUCUGGCUCCUCUCCAUUCCAUCCUGCGGCUAAGCGGAGGCCGGGUCAACGUGGCAAUAGACCCCAUGUCAAACUGGACAUUCUGGGCCACCAGCUGGGCUGUGCCAGGAGCAGACAGCAUUAACUACACAGCGUUCUUGCUGAAGAGGCUUAGCCUGAAUCUGAGCACGAGGUAGGGAUCAGACACCUGCAGAAUUUCGACCAUCGAACAAGACAUCGGGCCUGUCUUUCUUCAAACAGCCAGUGUCCACAGCACAAAUGAGACGACAAAAAGGAGAAGAGAUAUCUUGGGUUCCAAAGGACUCAGAAGAUUGUGCUAUCAUAAUUUUGUAGUCCUUUCGAACCCCAAACAUCUCCUCACCUUUCUGUGGCUGUCUCUGGUGGUGGUGACACUUCCUUGUCUGUAGGGGACAGGCCAGAUGUCUGGCUUGAUGGUCUACAUCCUGAAGGUGUCUGAUCACUUCCUCCUGAUUAAAUUCAGGCUAACCUUUUUCCUGGGCGUUCCCUAGUGAAUGCUGUGUGUGUCCCAGCCCCGCCCACCCACAGACCCAGAGCGUCCAGUCUGCCAUCACCAUCAUUGUGAGAGCAGCACUGGUUGCCUUCUAUGGGGGGGGCCUAUCAGAUCGUUCAUGGUCUUCUGUUUGGGUGUGACAUCUGAGAAUGUGCGAAGAUGCUGUCUCUAAAGUCUGUCUCUACAAUGUUACCAUCUUUUAGUGAU